GAGUUUUGGAGAAUGAAAACUUCCCACUUUCCACGAAAAACAAAAAAAAAUCAAAUUCCCACGUCCUUAAGACCUGAACUGAUCUGUCACCGAAAUCUCUCCCUUCUUUCGGCUACCUCUCUCUCUUUGAUCUCUCUCUCUCUCUCUCUCUCUGAUCUCUCUCUCUCUGCAAUUACCAAAGGCCAAAAAUUUCUCAGAAGACCGAAUUCUUGUUACAAAGGAAUCCAACCCAAGCGCAAUGAAGCCCGACUUCAUCCUCCUCGAUGUCUGAUUUAUAAUUGACAAGCCUGAACCAAGACCUUCUUAUCACAUCUACCAUUUGGUUCAUUCUUAUCUUCGCAUUUCGUAUCAUCCUAUUGCAAUUUCCAUUUCAUAUAUAUUAUUUUUUGAACUCUAGAAAUUGAGUUCUGAAAAACUCGGCAACUCCCCACAUUUGUUGCAGUUACCAUAAGUUUCGAAUUCUAAUUGUACUCUCCCUCUAAAUCAUUGCUGCACGGAGCACAUUUGAAGGAGCCAUUGGUGAACAACUGUAGAUCGGCAAAAAGGAGGGAGUUGAACUAUUGAAGAACUUGAAGGAAAACCUCAAUUGAUCUGCUUUUACUCAUUAUAUGUGUUUUUACUUGGUAUAUAAUGCGUGACAUCAAUUGGAAAUUGCAGGUUCACUUGGAACUUAAAUGAAUUGAAGCAUCUAACAAUUAAGGAUGAGAUGACGCCGUUUUGUGUCUUUAUUUUCUUAAGUUUUGCACUAUGAAUGUGUCUACAGUAGAUCGGGGAGAAAGAACAAGAAGAAAAAUUAAGAACAGCAGCCCCAUAAGGAAAAGCUGUGGACAAAGCAAGUGACCUUGAAUUUGCCUUGCAUUUUUGCAAAUGCUGAAGACAUUGAGGUUUUAUUUUCUUUCUUCUUGUUUUUUCUUUCUUUCUAUUUUUUUGGGUACUGUAGUUCAUUCCCCAAAACCGUUAUUAUCUUUGUUUUCAAAUUUUUUUUUUAAAGAGGAGAAUAGGACCUAGUUGGUGGAUGUGAAGCUUUUUUCAAUUUCUUUUGUAGUUGUUUCACUAAAAUCAUCAUUAUGUUUGUUUGUUUGGUUAUUAGAUUUGAUAUGCAAGAUGAGAUGAAAAUUGGAGUACUAGACAUGGUUAUAUAUGCGGUGACAACUUUCUUAAAAUGUGGGCUUCAGUUUGAUUUCAAGAUGAUUUAAUUAAAUUUACAAUCCAUAGGUGCUAUGGAAUUACAACAUUCGAGUUGAAGUACAUGGACAAAAAUGGUGUUAUAUUUGCUCGAGUGCUAUGAAACGUUGUUUUCCUGCAUCUAUUCCUGAGAUUAUGUGUUUUGGCGUUAUUUUACUUGUUGCAUUGGUUUCACUAGAUAAUUCAAGGGGUUGCUGCUCUAUUGGAUUUGCACAAGGAUUUUCUGCAAUGUUUUGUGCAAGGAAGAGUUGUUCUUCUCUCAUUCCAAGGGUGCUUAUUCAUAUAACAUUUUAAUUAUAUUAAUUCUUGGGUACCAAUUUGAUUUCAAUAGCCAAGAUAUUUAAUUUUGAUCGGUUGAACUUUUGUUGCUUUCCAUUAUGUAAGUUAUUUAUGUUUUUUGUUACUAAGAGGUCAGGCCUUAUGUCCCCCUCUCUAGCUAUUGUAUUUUUUUUUUGUGCUAAUAAACAAUACCUCUUAUCA